rnacentral:rRNA from 1 species
AUUGAACGCUGGCGGCAGGCUUAACACAUGCAAGUCGAGCGAGCGGCGGACGGGUGAGUAAUGUCUGGGAAACUUCCUUAUGGAGGGGGAUAACUACUGGAAACGGUAGCUAAUACCGCAUACCAUCAGAUGUGCCCAGAUUGGAUUAGCUAGUAGGUGGGGUAAUGUCUCACCUAGGCGACGAGCCCUAGCUUGGCUGAGAGGAUUACCAGCCAAACGGGAACUGAGACACGGUCAAGACGCGGACGGGAGGCAGCAGUGGGGAAUAUUGCACAAUGGGCGAAAGCCUGAUGAAGCCAUGCCGCGUGUGUGAAGAAGGCCUUCGGGUUGUAAAGCACUUUCAGCGAGGAGGCGUUACUCGCAGAAGAAGCACCGGCUAACUCCGUGCCAGCAGCCGCGGUAAUAC